UUACUUACCUGGAUGGGGUCAAUGGUUGAUCAUGAAGGCCCAUGGCCUAGGUUGGUGGUCUUCAUUGCACUUUGGAGGGGUGUCAGCCUAAGGUCUACCCAAGUGGUGGAUCCUACAUCAAUAUUUGUUGCAGUGGGGGCUUGCGUUCGCGCAGCCCCUUC
rnacentral:snRNA from 1 species